rnacentral:rRNA from 1 species
AUUGAACGCCGGCGGCAUGCCUUACACAUGCAAGUCGAACGGCAGCACGGGUGCUUACACCUGGUGGCGAGUGGCGAACGGGUGAGUAAUACAUCGGAACGUACCUUAUCGUGGGGGAUAACGCAGCGAAAGCUGUGCUAAUACCGCAUACGCCCUGAGGGGGAAAGCGGGGGAUCGAAAGACCUCGCGCGAUUAGAGCGGCCGAUGCCUGAUUAGCUUGUUGGUGGGUAAAGCCCACCAAGGCGACGAUCAGUAGCUGGUCUGAGAGGACGAUCAGCCACACUGGGACUGAGACACGGCCCAGACUCCUACGGGAGGCAGCAGUGGGGGAAUUUUGGACAAUGGGCGCAAGCCUGAUCCAGCAAUGCCGCGUGCAGGAUGAAGGCCUCGG